AUUCCUUCUAACUUCUUUGGCAUCAUCACCUUUUUUCUUUUGUAUUUAACAAUGUAAUUGCAUGGAACUGUUGAAUCAGAGACUGAAGAACUUAUUGGUAAACUUUUGAUUUUAGGGACAAAGAAAAAAGAAAAAAAUGCGCCUACAUCUUCUUCAUUUAGAUAUAUUUGUUUUUUUUUUAAUCCCUUAUAUGACAUAACAUUUAUGUUAUGCCAAAUUUUGAAUUGGUUUUUGAAGUUGAUUUUUUUCAGCCGAGUUAUUUUGGUGUGUGUGUGAUAUAGCCAAUAUUUAAUAAUAUCGUUAUUUGUUGAUGGGAUCAUAGAUGUCAUUCCUUCUAACUUCUUUGACAUCAUAACCUUUUUUCUUUGUGUAUUUAACAAUAUAAUUGCAUGGAAACAGGUAGCAAUGCUGAUCAAUUUGAGGCUGAUGAAUCUGAGGAAGAUGAAUUUGAGGCUGACGAUGAAUUUGAGGCUGACGAUGAAUUUGAGGAUGAUGAAUUUGAGGCUGAUGAAUCGGAGACUGAUGAUUCGGAGACUGAUGACUCGGAUUCUGAAAAACUUAUUGGUAAGCUUUUGAUUUUGAGGACCAAAAAAAAUCUCUUAUAAUGUCUAUGUAUUUGUUGUUAUUUUAUGUUGUAAUGUACUCACAAUACUGAUUUUUGAGUUUUAUCAUCUUCCUUCAUUCAUUGUUAAAAAAAAGAAAAAUUAAUAAUAAUAAUAAUUGAUUCUUUGUUUUGCUUUUAUUGUAUUUAACAAUGGAUCAACAUAUUGCACACAGGUCGUGAAUGUCAGUUUUGUUUAAAGGUGGGUGAUCACUUCUCGCAAACAUGCUCUUAUAGGUAUCAUGUCCCAAAGAACGCAAUUGUUGGCAAGAGGUGUGUGGUAGUUUGUAAUUUGUGUGGUUGCCUCUUUAGAGACUCAUGUUGUGGCGUUUGUGGCCAAAGCGAUGGAUGUGCAAUUCUAAUGAAUUGUUUACAUUGUGGGAAGAUAGGUGAACAUUUGAUUUUUACGUGUCCGAGCCGCGAGGGGAAACCUUCUUGUUUUUCUUUGGACCCUUAUACUGGUU
rnacentral:lncRNA from 1 species